CCCAAAACCCCCAAAUUUUGGGUCAAACCCCCCCAAAUCCCCCAAAUUUUGGGGUCCCCCCCAAAUCCCAGCAGCACUUCCGGGUCCAUCCGUGACCUUUAUUGGGGGGGGAGGGGCCUCAGGGGGGACACGGGGGGGACACGGGGGGUCAGAGGUCACUGGGUGGCCACAGGGUGGUCAGCAGUCCGUAGGUGGUCAGUGGGUGGUCAGCAGAAGGUCAGCAGGUGGUCAGAGGGUGGUCAGCAGAAGGUCAGCAGGUGGUCAGAGGGUGGUCAGCAGAAGGUCAGUGGGUGGUCAGUGGCCAGCAGGUGGUCAGAGGUCCAUGGGAGGUCAGCAGAAGGUCAGGAGGUGGUCAGUGGGUGGUCAGCAGAAGGUCAGUGGGUGGUCAGAGGUCCAUGGGUGCUCAGCAGUGGCCAGCAGAUGGUUGGUGGCCAGCAGAUGGUGGCUGGUGGCCAGCAGCUGGUCGGUGGUGGCCAGCGGUGGUUGGUGGUGGCCAGCAGAUGUCAGGGGAUGGUUGGUG
rnacentral:lncRNA from 1 species